UUUUUACUAAAACAAAUCUAUAUAUUUCUAUAUUCUCUCCUCUCAAUUGCUUUUCUAAUUUCGUUUAACUUCUUUAUCAAUAAAAAAUAUUUAAAAAAAAAAUUAGUUUCCUUAUAAUCUCCAACUCUCAUACGGUUAAACCCCCUUUCUACCAAAAGAAUUCUCACGAUUCUCUCUCUCUCUCUCUCUCUCUCUUCUUUUGAAACUCUUUUCCUUGGACUAUUUUAUCUUUCUUAUUUAUUUAAAUACCUUAAAUUCUUCAUUAUCAUUUUUUUUUAUAUUCCUUAUUGUUUCUAUUCUUUUUGGUACCCUCCACUUUCUCUAAAUCUUUAAUACAUCCAUUUUUUUCAAAAAUAAAAGAUCUUGUAAAUCUUUUAAAAUUCAAUUACUAUAACUAAAUAUACUAAUAAAUAAACGUUUAACCGACCAAACCUGAUAUCCCCUGACUCGCCUUCGUCAAGUGCAUCUUCAUGCAAUUUCAUCUUCCCUCUUCCGGUCAGCCAGCUAAAGAAGUGGAAGUUAAAUCUUCGGAAUGGCUUCGAGAGUUUCGAAUCGAGUUUGUUUGGAGAGCAGUGGCAAAGGAUAGAGCAGAAAACUUUGAUUGUAUUAGGAAGCAGGCCUCAUCUGUAGCAAUCGAUCCUGAUUUUUUUUUUACUUAGCAUUGUUCUCUCCAGUGGGUUGCCGCCUCCAAUCGAUCCUGGUGGCCAUUCCUUCAUCAUCGCCAAAUUCAACAUACAAAACCCUGGAUAUACAAAGGUUGUUGAUAUAUUUCUUGUUGUUUCUGUGAAGUUGGUAUGGUAUGGAUUUCUCGAUUACCUUUUUAUUUGAAUUCCAUAUAUAGGGUCUAUAACCUUAAACAUGUCCCCCAUUCAGCAUAGUGUUUACUUCCAAUAGAUUUACUUUUUAAAAUCUAGGCUUGUUCAAAUUGUAACUCAAUUGCCUUUCCUUUAUUAGAUCACUAUGCCACCAAAAUAUAUAGCAACUGACACUCAACGUCAAAGAUACAAUGGAAAUAAAAGGACCAUUAGAGAAACCCUGCAUACAAAUAAAAGAAACAAAAAUCAGGCAUGGCUACUGAAAGCCCAACUUGCCGAAUCAAGUUCUACAUCUUCAAAUUCUGAAAAUUUUGAAAAUCAACCAUUUGGUUUGAAACGUUAGUAUUAGAAUAAUUAUAUUUUAAAAAUUAUUAAGAUUAAUUUGAUUUUUCUUUAUUUAUUAUUAUUAUUUUUUUGGACACAUGAGUAUUUGAACCACAAAAUUCUACAGUACAUGUACUUAAAAAAGUACCUCCAUGUAUCCAUUGUGGAGCAAAGAAAUUUGAAUAUGAACCACCUUCAUUCUGUUGUUGUAAUGGAAAUGUUGUUUUGGCAUCUACAACGGUUCCAGAUGAAUUAUAUACUUUAUUUACUUCUCAAACAUCUGAAGCCAUUGAAUUCCGUAGAUAUAUACGUGCUUACAAUAGUAUAUUUUCCUUCACAUCUCUUGGAGUUCAUGUCGACAAAGAUCUUGCAAAUGGAAAAGAUGGUAUAUAUACCUUUAGAGCUCAAGGACAAUUAUAUCAUGAUUUGCCUCCAAUUUUGCCAGAAAAAGACAAUCCAUGCUAUUUGCAAUUAUACUUUUAUGAUACUGAUAAUGAACUUCAGAAUAGGAUGAAAGUGUUACAGGAUUCAAAACUCAAAGAGCCUAUUAUGUCAAAACUAAUAGAUAUUCUAUCAAUUAAUCCAUACGUAAGGUUCUUUAAAAGUUUUAAAGACGUUCAUUUGUUGGAGAAUAAUGAGAUUAUAAUCACAAGUGACGUACAUCUUGAUCAGAGAGUUUACAAUUUACCAUCAGUCGACCAAGUUGCAACUAUUUGGGUAGAAGGAAAUAAUCCCCAUAGAACUGAAAAUUGUGAUAUAGUAAUAGAAGGACAUUCAGGGAAGAAACAUCGAGUGGUACAUUAUUAUGGUUGUUAUGAUGCCUUACAAUAUCCUCUUUUAUAUCCAAAUGGCGAAGUCGGCUGGCACAUGAGCAUUAAACAAAAGAAUGUAACAGGUAGAGUUUUGCAUGAUUUAACAAGCGAGGAGUCUAUAUUUAAUAGAGAAGGUGACUUUGAAGGUAUGUUUAACUAUUAUAUUUAUAUUUUUUAAUGUUUAAGGUUUAAAUGUUAAAAUAAUUUAUAUAUGUCAAAUUAUAGGAUUUGAUGAGAGUAACAAGAACAGGGUAUCUCCCAGAGCAUAUUAUUGUCAUAAGCUUUAGAUUCGAGAUGGUCAUCGUUCUAUUCUUCUAUAUGCUGGUCGAUUGCUACAUCAAUAUGUUGUAGAUAUGUAUAUCAAAAUUGAAGCAACACGAUUAGAUUUUUUUUUGAGCAAAACAGUCAAAUAUCCGAGCAGAAUUAUAUCAAGGAAUAGUUGAUAGUGUUUUAGCUGGAGAAACAAGAGGUGAUCAAGUUGGGACAAAGUUUGUUUUACCUGCAUCAUUUAUUGGAGGACCAAGAGAUAUGCGUCGAAGGUAUCUUGAUGCUAUAACUUUAGUACAGAAAUAUGGAAAACCUGAUCUUUUCAUCACUAUGACAUGCAAUCCAGAUUGGGUUGAGAUACAAGAAGAAUUAAAACAAGGACAAGUUCCACAAGAUAGACCAGAUCUUACAGCUAGGAUAUUUUGAGCAAAGUUACAUAAUCUAAAAGAUCAAUUAUUCAAGAAAGGGAUCCUUGGUAAAGUGGCUGCACACGUACAUGUUGUUGAAUUUCAAAAAAGGGGGCUUCCACAUGCACACAUACUGAUAAUUAUGCACAAGGACUUCAAGAUAACAAAUGCUGAUGUUUUUGAUAAAUUUGUAUGUGCAGAAAUCCCAGUUUUUAAUGAAGAUCCAGUUUUAUAUGAGAAAGUUAUGAAACAUAUGAUGCACGGACCCUGUGGAGAUUUGAAUAAACUAAAUGCUUGUAUGAGGAAUGGAGUGUGUAAGAGUCGAUAUCCUUGUUCAUUUAUUGAAAAUACCAUGCAAGGUAAAGAUUCUUACCCUAUUUAUAGACGAAGAAAUACUGGAAUAUAAGUUAAGGUACGACGACAUUAUUUGGAUAACAGAUGGGUUGUUCCUUAUAAUUCAUACCUUUUGACAAGAUAUGAUUGUCAUAUUAAUGUUGAGAUAUGUUCUGGAUUGAAGGCAAUAAAGUACCUAUACAAAUAUGUUUAUAAAGGA